CCAAUAGCGUAUAUUAAAGUUGUUGCAGUUAAAAAGCUCGUAGUUGAACUUCGGGAUCAAUUGAUUGGUCAUGCCAUUGGUAUGUACUGGUCAUAUUGGUUCUCACCUUCUAAGGAACCAUAAUGUCAUUCAUUUGAUGUUUUGGGGAAUUAGGACUGUUACCUUGAAAAAAUUAGAGUGUUUAAAGCAGGCUAACGCUUGAAUACAUUAGCAUGGAAUAAUGAAAUAGGACAUCGCAUUCUAUUUUGUUGGUUUCUAGGAUCGAUGUAAUGAUUAAUAGGGAUAGUUGGGGGCAUUAGUAUUCAAUUGUCAGAGGUGAAAUUCUUGGAUUUAUUGAAGACUAACUACUGCGAAAGCAUUUGCCAAGGAUGUUUUCAUUAAUCAAGAACGAAAGUUAGGGGAUCGAAGACGAUCAGAUACCGUCGUAGUCUUAACCAUAAACUAUGCCGACUAGGGAUCGGAUGAUGUUGAUUUUUUAAUGACUCAUUCGGCACCUUACG
rnacentral:rRNA from 1 species